rnacentral:rRNA from 1 species
GAUGAACGCUGGCGGCGUGCCUAAUACAUGCAAGUCGAGCGAACAGACGAGAAGCUUGCUUCUCUGAUGUUAGCGGCGGACGGGUGAGUAACACGUGGAUAACCUACCUAUAAGACUGGGAUAACUUCGGGAAACCGUAGCUAAUACCGGAUAAUAUAUUGAACCGCAUGGUUCAAUAGUGAAAGACGGUUUUGCUGUCACUUAUAGAUGGAUCCGCGCUGCAUUAGCUAGUUGGUAAGGUAACGGCUUACCAAGGCAACGAUGCGUAGCCGACCUGAGAGGGGGAUCGGCCACACUGGAACGGAGACACGGUCCAGACGCCUACGGGAGGCAGCAGUAGGGAAUCUUCCGCAAUGGGCGAAAGCUUGACGGAGCAACGCCGCGUGAGUGAUGAAGGUCUUCGGAUCGUAAAACUCUGUUAUUAGGGAAGAACAAAUGUGUAAGUAACUAUGCACAUCUUGACGGUACCUAAUCAGAAAGCCACGGCUAACUACGUG